AUUGAACGCUGGCGGCAUGCUUUACACAUGCAAGUCGAACGGCAGCACGGGAGCUUGCUCCUGGUGGCGAGUGGCGAACGGGUGAGUAAUACAUCGGAACGUACCCUGAAGUGGGGGAUAACGUAGCGAAAGUUACGCUAAUACCGCAUAUUCUGUGAGCAGGAAAGAGGGGGAUCGCAAGACCUCUUGCUUUAGGAGCGGCCGAUGUCGGAUUAGCUAGUUGGUGAGGUAAAGGCUCACCAAGGCGACGAUCCGUAGCGGGUCUGAGAGGAUGAUCCGCCACACUGGGACUGAGACACGGCCCAGACUCCUACGGGAGGCAGCAGUGGGGAAUUUUGGACAAUGGGCGCAAGCCUGAUCCAGCCAUGCCGCGUGAGUGAAGAAGGCCUUCGGGUU
rnacentral:rRNA from 1 species